UACGGAGGGUGCGAGCGUUGUCCGGAAUCACUGGGCGUAAAGGGCGCGUAGGCGGCCCGUCAAGCGUGUGGUGAAAGCCCGGGGCUUAACCCCGGGUCUGCAUUCGAUACGGGCAGACUAGAGUGUGGUAGGGGAGAUCGGAAUUCCUGGUGUAGCGGUGAAAUGCGCAGAUAUCAGGAGGAACACCGGUGGCGAAGGCGGUUCUCUGGGCAUUACCUGACGCUGAGGAGCGAAAGUGUGGGGAGCGAACAGG
rnacentral:rRNA from 1 species